GCCAGCAUGGCGUAGUGGGUUGAGCAUUGGACUAAGACUCUAGAGACCAGGGUUCAAAUCCUGGCUUGACC